AGAGUUUCAUUCUGGCUCAGGAUGAACGCUAGCUACAGGCUUAACACAUGCAAGUCGAGGGGAAACGACAUCGAAAGCUUGCUUUUGAUGGGCGUCGACCGGCGCACGGGUGAGUAACGCGUAUCCAACCUGCCCAUCACUUGGGAAUAACCUUGCGAAAGUAAGACUAAUACCCAAUGAUAUCCCACGAAGGCAUCCGAAUGGGAUUAAAGAUUUAUCGGUGAUGGAUGGGGAUGCGUCUGAUUAGCUUGUUGGCGGGGUAACGGCCCACCAAGGCAACGAUCAGUAGGGGUUCUGAGAGGAAGGUCCCCCACAUUGGAACUGGGACACGGUCCAAACUCCUACGGGAGGCAGCAGUGAGGAAUAUUGGUCAAUGGGCGAGAGCCUGGACCAGCCAAGUAGCGUGCAGGAUGACGGCCCUAUGGGUUGUAAACUGCUUUUAUAAGGGAAUAAAGUGAGUCUCGUGAGACUUUUUGCAUGUACCUUAUGAAUAAGGACCGGCUAAUUCCGUGCCAGCAGCCGCGGUAAUACGGAAGGUCCGGGCGUUAUCCGGAUUUAUUGGGUUUAAAGGGAGCGUAGGCCGGAGAUUAAGCGUGUUGUGAAAUGUAGUGGCUCAACCUCUGCACUGCAGCGCGAACUGGUCUUCUUGAGUACGCACAACGUGGGCGGAAUUCGUGGUGUAGCGGUGAAAUGCGUAGAUAUUAGGAGGAACACCAGUGGCGAAGGCGGCUUACUGGACGAUGACUGACGUUGAGGCUCGAAAGCGUGGGGAGCAAACAGAAUUAGAUACCCUGGUAGUCCACGCCGUAAACGAUGACUGCUAGGUGUCGGGUAGCAAAGCUUAUUCGGUGCCGCAGCUAACGCAAUAAGCAGUCCCCCUGGGGAGUACGUUCGCAAGAAUGAAACUCAAAGGAAUUGACGGGGACCCGCACAAGCGGUGGAGCAUGUGGUUUAAUUCGAAGCAACGCGAAGAACCUUACCUGAUCUUGACAUCCCGAUGACCGCUUCGUAAUGGAAGCUUUUCUUCGGAACAUCGGUGACAGGUGGUGCAUGGUUGUCGUCAGCUCGUGUCGUGAGAUGUUGGGUUAAGUCCCGCAACGAGCGCAACCCUUAUUGUCAGUAGCCAGCAGGUGAAGCUGGGCACUCUGAUGAGACUGCCGGGGAUAACCCGGAGGAAGGUGGGGAUGACGUCAAAUCAUCAUGCCCCUUAUGAGCAGGGCUACACACGUGCUACAAUGGCGUAAACAGAGGGAAGCGAAGGAGUGAUCUGGAGCAAAUCUCAAAAAUAACGUCUCAGUUCGGAUUGUAGUCUGCAACUCGACUACAUGAAGCUGGAAUCGCUAGUAAUCGCAGAUCAGAAUGCUGCGGUGAAUACGUUCCCGGGUCUUGCACACACCGCCCGUCAAG
rnacentral:rRNA from 1 species